UGUGAAGUUACUUAAACAACCAGGAGGUUGGCUUAGAAGCAGCCAUCCUUUAAAGAAAGCGUAAUAGCUCACUGGUCUAGUGAUUUUGCGCGGAAAAUAUAACGGGGCUAAAGUAAGUACCGAAGCUGUAGACUUAGUUUACUAAGUGGUAGGAGAGCGUUCUAUUUGCGUCGAAGGUAUACCGGUAAGGAGUGCUGGAGCGAAUAGAAGUGAGCAUGCAGGCAUGAGUAGCGAUAAUUAAUGUGAGAAUCAUUAACGCCGUAAACCCAAGGUUUCCUACGCGAUGCUCGUCAUCGUAGGGUUAGUCGGGUCCUAAGUCGAGUCCGAAAGGGGUAGACGAUGGCAAAUUGGUUAAUAUUCCAAUACCAACAUUAGUGUGCGAUGGAAGGACGCUUAGGGCUAAGGGGGCUAGCGGAUGGAAGUGCUAGUCUAAGGUCGUAGGAGGUUGUACAGGCAAAUCCGUAUAACAAUACUCCGAGAACUGAAAGGCUUUUUGAAGUCUUCGGAUGGAUAGAAGAACCCCUGAUGCCGUCGAGCCAAGAAAAGUUUCUAAGUUUAGCUAAUGUUGCCCGUACCGUAAACCGACACAGGUGGGUGGGAUGAGUAUUCUAAGGCGCGUGGAAGAACUCUCUUUAAGGAACUCUGCAAAAUAGCACCGUAUCUUCGGUAUAAGGUGUGGUUAGCUUUGUAUUAGGAUUUACUCCGAAAGCAAGGAAACUUACAACAAAGAGUCCCUCCCGACUGUUUACCAAAAACACAGCACUCUGCUAACUCGUAAGAGGAUGUAUAGGGUGUGACGCCUGCCCGGUGCUCGAAGGUUAAUUGAUGGGGUUAGCAUUAGCGAAGCUCUUGAUCGAAGCCCGAGUAAACGGCGGCCGUAACUAUAACGGUCCUAAGGUAGCGAAAUUCCUUGUCGGUUAAAUACCGACCUGCAUGAAUGGCGUAACGAGAUGGGAGCUGUCUCAAAGAGGGAUCCAGUGAAAUUGUAGUGGAGGUGAAAAUUCCUCCUACCCGCGGCAAGACGGAAAGACCCCGUGGACCUUUACUACAGCUUGACACUGCUACUUGGAUAAGAAUGUGCAGGAUAGGUGGGAGGCUUUGAGUAUAUGACGCCAGUUGUAUAUGAGCCAUUGUUGAGAUACCACUCUUUCUUAUUUGGGUAGCUAACCAGCUUGAGUUAUCCUCAAGUGGGACAAUGUCUGGUGGGUAGUUUGACUGGGGCGGUCGCCUCCCAAAUAAUAACGGAGGCUUACAAAGGUUGGCUCAGAACGGUUGGAAAUCGUUCGUAGAGUAUAAAGGUAUAAGCCAGCUUAACUGCAAGACAUACAAGUCAAGCAGAGACGAAAGUCGGUCUUAGUGAUCCGGUGGUUCUGUGUGGAAGGGCCAUCGCUCAAAGGAUAAAAGGUACCCCGGGGAUAACAGGCUGAUCUCCCCCAAGAGCUCACAUCGACGGGGAGGUUUGGCACCUCGAUGUCGGCUCAUCGCAUCCUGGGGCUGGAGCAGGUCCCAAGGGUAUGGCUGUUCGCCAUUUAAAGCGGUACGCGAGCUGGGUUCAGAACGUCGUGAGACAGUUCGGUCCCUAUCUGCCGUGGGCGUAAGAAGAUUGAAGAGAUUUGACCCUAGUACGAGAGGACCGGGUUGAACAAACCACUGGUGUAGCUGUUGUUCUGCCAAGAGCAUCGCAGCGUAGCUAAGUUUGGAAAGGAUAAACGCUGAAAGCAUCUAAGCGUGAAGCCAACUCUAAGAUGAAUCUUCUCUAAGCUCUCUAGAAGACUACUAGUUUGAUAGGCUGGGUGUGUAAUGGAUGAAAGUCCUUUAGCUGACCAGUACUAAUAGAGCGUUUGGCUUAUCUUUAAUAAAGCAU
rnacentral:rRNA from 1 species